rnacentral:lncRNA from 1 species
GGUCAGGAGCCUGCAGCAUUCCUGGUGCUUUUUAGUUUCCUUUUUUUCUAAUCUCUGCCCAAUCCUUCUUUGUCCGUUUGUCCUUCUCACAUGGAGGGGUCCAGACGGGGGACAGUUGGUGUCUUCCAACCAAGGUGUCUCUGCCAAGCCCCACGCAGACAAUUCAGCAGCAGUGUGGUGAGACUGUGCAAGCUGUGGGUUCAGAAUGGGGGAUCUCACAGGAGCCUUUUUGCUCACGGAAUUCCAGGUGGCAGGCAGCACACAGCCCCCGCCUGGAGCAUCCUUCCUGCCCCUCGUCACUCCUGGCUCCAUGAAACUGCUGCAACAGGAGAAAUGACAGCCUGGAAAGUGCUGAAGAGAAAUCUGAGUGACCUGGGGUGA